rnacentral:RNase_P_RNA from 1 species
CAGGCUGGUCGGGCAGUCGCGGUCCUGCGUUGACGGGAUCGAGGAAAGUCCGCACUCCUAUAGAGCACGGCGUCGGAUAGCACCCGGGGCGGGGAAAUCCCAUCCCUCGCGGAUGGGAAAACCGCCGAUGAGGCGUGAACCUGCCGGAUAAGGGCCACAGAAACAGGUCGCUCCCUCCCCCCAUCCCCUCUCCCACCGGGAAAGGGGUGUAGGGGUGAGGGUAGUCAGAGUGAAAAGGUGGUGUAAGAGACCACCGGCGCGCGCAGUAAUGCGUGUGGCCAGGUAACCCCCGCCGGGAGCAAGGCCAAGCAGGAGCGAAUUCGUCUGUGGACGAUGGGAGGCUGCUCGUCUCCAUACGUACCGUUCCCAACCGUGGGAAUGGUCAGCUCCGGGUAGGCUGCAUCGAGCGGCGCGGCGACGCGCCGCCCAGAGAGAUGACUGCCCAGUGGCGCCUCGGCGCCAUGGACAGAAUGCGGCUUAUAGACCAGCCUGGGGU